rnacentral:rRNA from 1 species
GACAGAGGGUGCAAGCGUUGUUCGGAAUUAUUGGGCGUAAAGGGCGCGUAGGCGGCCAUGUAAGUCAGAUGUGAAAGCCCUGGGCUCAACCCAGGAAGUGCAUCUGAUACUGCGUGGCUUGAGUUCCGGAGAGGAUGGUGGAAUUCCCAGUGUAGAGGUGAAAUUCGUAGAUAUUGGGAGGAACACCGGUGGCGAAGGCGACCAUCUGGACGAGAACUGACACUGAGGCGCGAAAGCGUGGGGAGCAAACAGG